AUCAUUUUUCUUCUGUAACAGAAGCCUAGAAAGAAAUACCGACUUAAAUACCAUCCACACAAAUCACUUGAGUGUCUCCUUGGGCACCAAAUGCGAUAUUGGAUUGACACCAUGGUUUUCCCUUUUCCUUCCACUGCAUUUAAAAAUAGCAUCCUGGCUUCUAGCCAGGGCACUUUCCCUUCUAUUCACUGGGGCUGAAACAUAUUUUAUCUCUUCACUUCAUGAUUUCCUUCUUGCACAUUCUUGUUUUCUUGCAGUUCUUGGAGCCACGGUGGGAUAGCUAUGCUGGGUAAACGUCACCUUUAGGCAUACAAAACCAAUUUGUGUUCAUAUUUGUGUACAAAGUGUGGAAACCUCCAGAUGUGACCUGGGCUUAAGAAAAAGUAGCUUUUGCCAAGUUGCAUAUUGGGAAAGGACUGUGGGCCUGAGAGCCUACAGUGUUCACAGCAGCUAAAGUAACAUUAGGUACGGUGUGUGUGAGGAAGCUGGAUAGAUCUGUCACGAGAUGGUGCUGUCAUGGGAGAUGGUCAUAGCAGAAAUGGGAAAGUGUGAGUAUUUCUCAUUCCCACUUAUCAUUUCCACUGACUUAGGCUAGCACCUGGCAAAAGCAUGGGCUCUGUGAGUUAUUUUCAGCAGGGCUGUGGCACAGUGCUGAUUGUCUGUUGGCUCACUGUAAAAACAAACUAAUGUCUGUGCCCUCGGGUGGUUUAUAUUUAGCAUGAGCAGCUCAUUGUGUUGGAGCUCUCUGUUUGGGUCUGACCUUCCUGCUGUAGCUAAAAAUGCCUCCCUGAAAUGCCAGCACCAUUCUGCAUUCUCUCUGUGUCUCCCUGUGUUCCCCUGACGUGUGGCUGGCUGUUCAUUUGGAUUUGUAUGGGUGGGCUGGGAUAUUCCCACUGUUUGCUUCCUUCCUUACUCAUUGGGAUCUCUCGUAGAGAGGAAAAAACAAAGGUGAAGUGAUGGCUCUGAUGGCCGUUUGACACUUCUUUAUCCCUCAGAUCAGUUCCCAUAUGAAAACUAAUGCUCCCACCCUUUGUGUCUUCAAAGCCAACUCUAUACCUGAUGGCCUGUUAUGUGUCAGUGUGUUUACGUGGGUCUGUGAACACCCCUCUGCUUCUGUAUGCGGAAGGAAACAAAUGGAGACUUUUGUGCCCAGGCCUGGGCUGCUGAUGUGAAAACCAGCUGAUCAGAAAACAUCCAAAGGGAACGUGAGGUUCUGGGAAUCAGGAUGUGAGGUGGUUGUUUAAAUGCACAGAAAAUCCCCCGUGCCUCCACGAGUUCUGGGAAUCUUAUAAGAGUAGGGGAUCUUGUAAGCAGGCCUAGCACUUUCCAUUUGUAUAGAAGACACCAUGCAAGGAGUCUGCGCUGCAAAGGAAGAACACAGCCCAGGGACUCUUCUUCUGUUCUCUGAGUUGCUAGAUUAAUUUUUAGAAGGAGCUGAGGCUGAAACCUCUUGUGCUCAGGCACCAGUACAAGUCCAGCUUGGGCUGUUCAUGCUGAAAGCCACCCCUUAGCAGUCUGGAGGCCGCCCUGGCCCACCGGCGGUGCUGGCGGCCUUCCCUUGGCCACACAGCCCAAAAUGGUGUGGACAAAGCCCAGAUGCAGCCAGGCUUGUGUGGGUGGCUCAUUUCACUUCCUCUGGGGCCGGCGGGGGGCUGAGGUCUGGGGCUGUGCUGUCCCUCCUGCGCCUGCUCUGGAAGCAGUUUUCCUGUUUGCUGGUUUGCAGGUUGGAGCCUGUUCCCUUGGUAGACGUGGGCUGGGCAGGCAGGUUUCCCCAAGAGCCCUAAAUCAGUGUGAUGACAGCACUUUGAGUCCCUUCCACCCCAGGAGCCAUGCUGUGGAUGACAAGGGCUGCCUGUGCCAGUGGCUGUGGGAAGACCUUUGAGCCUCCACCUCGCAGCCAAAGCGAAGAGUGCAGUGUGUGCAAAGCUGUGUCUGUUGCAUUAGGUUUGUAGGAUUGGGUCCAAAGUAAAUUUCCACUUUGACUCUC